UAGAGUUUGAUCCUGGCUCAGGAUGAACGCUAGCGACAGGCCUAACACAUGCAAGUCGAGGGGCAUCGGGGCGAGGAGCAAUCCUUGCCGCCGGCGACCGGCGCACGGGUGAGUAACGCGUAUGCGACCUGCCCGUUGCAGGGGGAUAAUCGGGAGAAAUCCCGUCUAAUACCGCGUAACGCCGCGGGGCUGCAUGGCCCUGCGGCCAAAGGAAGCGAUUCCGGCAACGGAUGGGCAUGCGUGACAUUAGCUAGUUGGCGGGGCAACGGCCCACCAAGGCGACGAUGUCUAGGGGUUCUGAGAGGAAGGUCCCCCACACUGGUACUGAGACACGGACCAGACUCCUACGGGAGGCAGCAGUGAGGAAUAUUGGUCAAUGGGCGCGAGCCUGAACCAGCCAAGUCGCGCGAGGGAUGACGGCCCUACGGGUUGUAAACCUCUUUUGUCGGGGAGCAAAUUCCGCCACGUGUGGCGGAGUCGAGAGUACCCGAAGAAAAAGCAUCGGCUAACUACGUGCCAGCAGCCGCGGUAAUACGUAGGGGGCAAGCGUUAUCCGGAAUUACUGGGUGUAAAGGGAGCGUAGACGGUAAUGCAAGUCUGGAGUGAAAGGCGGGGGCCCAACCCCCGGACUGCUCUGGAAACUGUGUAACUGGAGUGCAGGAGAGGCAGGCGGAAUUCCUAGUGUAGCGGUGAAAUGCGUAGAUAUUAGGAGGAACACCAGUGGCGAAGGCGGCUUACUGGACUGUAACUGACGUUGAGGCUCGAAAGCGUGGGGAGCAAACAGGAUUAGAUACCCUGGU
rnacentral:rRNA from 1 species